GGGGGUAAGGGGUGAGUCCUCUCAGGGGCAUGCUUAGGAAACAAAGUAGUUCCCAAAAUCUAUGCAUAUGACAGAGAAGAAUUAGAUGGCCUUUGAGAGACCCAGAAGAAAAUGCAAAAAGGAAUAGGGAAAAAAAGGGCAAAGCAACCUGCUGUGAGCCUCCUAAUCUUCCAUGGCCUGAAUUCCCAGCGCUUGAGAACAAGCCCUGUGAAAAACAAGCUGCUGUCCCUGCUAGAGGCAUCCUGCAAUCCAUGGAUGUUUAUCACCAAGCCAUUGUUAACAUGAGGUGGUUUCCAAAAGGAAAAGCUUUGGGAGAUAGAAGUCCUCGUUUUGACCUCUGCCCUCCUUGUACACCAGGAGCCAGAAAAACUUCAUCUCUUUUACAAGAAACAUUGAGAUUCCUGUAAAAUUAAGAAAUCACACAAUUUGAUGGUCUACAUUAUCUAAAGCAAAUGAGACUUCUAUUUGGAACAAAGACUACCUUGUUGGGAAAUGAGUCUGCAAGUUAAAGUGUUUUCUGGUAAGUUUCUUUGGUCCUUAGCUUCCUUAAAGGGGAAGUAAUCAUUGCCCAUGGGCCCCUUUUAAUUUCCCCAAGUUAGUUUAUCUAUUGAGUCAUUUAUGAUAGUUUCGAAUUGCCUCAUAGAACAAAGUCAGCACUUCUUGUUUACGCAUACUGUGCCACACUGGCAGAGUUAUCUGGGUCUUCUCUCUCUCAACAUUUCCAGAAAGAUGGUAUCUGUAUCAUCUAGACUGUGUUUGCCCUGAGGAGAAACUAAGACAGACAUGCCCAAAGGCUGAACUCAAUAUCUUUGUAGAAAUUAUUAAAAGCAAUAUCACCUUUAGCCUUGUCAAGAACCUCUAACAAGACCUUUUCAGACCAAAGUGCCCUCAAUAUCAGAGCAUGUAGUCACCCACCCCAGGUUGACCCCGGAAGUAUGAGAGAGCUAAGGUGGGAGCCAGAGGCUGAGAGAAGAAAGGGGGUGACCUAGUUCAUGCCAAAUGAAUCUCACAAGCAAGACUAGAUUGUAAAAUCAGCAAAGUCGCUCACAGCUGCAUUAUGUCCUCCCUGAGCUCUGGGCACUUUUGCCUUUGUGACCUCCUUCCUCCAACAAUUAACAUUAAAAAUUGUAUUUUAUUAUAAAGACAAACAUAA
ensembl:lncRNA HISLA HIF1A stabilizing long noncoding RNA